rnacentral:rRNA from 1 species
UGGGGAAUAUUGCACAAUGGGCGCAAGCCUGAUGCAGCGACGCCGCGUGAGGGAUGACGGCCUUCGGUUGUAAACCUCUUUCACCCAUGACGAAGCGCAAGUGACGGUAGUGGGAGAAGAAGCACCGGCCAA